GACGAACGCUGGCGGCGUGCUUAACACAUGCAAGUCGAACGGAAAGGCCCUGCUUGCAGGGUACUCGAGUGGCGAACGGGUGAGUAACACGUGGGUGAUCUGCCCUGCACUUCGGGAUAAGCCUGGGAAACUGGGUCUAAUACCGGAUAGGAGCCAUUUUUAGUGUGAUGGUUGGAAAGUUUUUUCGGUGUAGGAUGAGCUCGCGGCCUAUCAGCUUGUUGGUGGGGUAAUGGCCUACCAAGGCGGCGACGGGUAGCCGGCCUGAGAGGGUGGACGGCCACAUUGGGACUGAGAUACGGCCCAGACUCCUACGGGAGGCAGCAGUGGGGAAGAUUGCACGAUGGGCGCAAGCCUGAUGCAGCGACGCCGCGUGGGGGAUGACGGCCUUCGGGUUGUAAACUCCAUUCGCUAGGGACGAAGCUUUUUGUGACGGUACCUAGAUAAGAAGCACCGGCUAACUACGUG
rnacentral:rRNA from 1 species